GCACCCCCUUUUCAUGCGGGGCU
rnacentral:rRNA from 1 species